rnacentral:rRNA from 1 species
UGGCGAACGGGCGAGUAACGCGUGAGCAACCUACCCUAAACUGGGGGAUAACAACGGGAAACCGUUGCUAAUACCGCAUAAUACUAUGAUAUCGCAUGAUGUCAUAGUCAAAGCUCCGGCGGUUUAGGAUGGGCUCGCGUCCAAUUAGCUAGUUGGUGAGGUAACGGCUCACCAAGGCGACGAUUGGUAGCCGAACUGAGAGGUUGGUCGGCCGCAUUGGGACUGAGACACGGCCCAGACUCCUACGGGAGGCAGCAGUGGGGAAUAUUGCGCAAUGGGGGAAACCCUGACGCAGCGACGCCGCGUGAAGGAAGAAGGCCUUCGGGUUGUAAACUUCUUUGAUCGGGGAAGAAACUGACGGUACCCGAGGAACAAGCCACGGCUAACUACGUGCCAGCAGCCGCGGUAAUACGUAGGUGGCUAGCGUUGUCCGGAAUUACUGGGCGUA